rnacentral:lncRNA from 1 species
AAUAUCAUCACAAAUCUUCUCAACAUUCUUCAUUUUCUUACUACAUGUAAGCAUCCAAACUCAUCUUACAUUCACAGAAAACAAAGUAAAUGGCAAGAAUUAUUUGGUUGCAAACUGUAUAUCAUGUUAUGCAGAUAGUUGAAAAUUGGAACCUGGAAACAUAACUUGCUGGUACAAAAGCUUGUGCUAUGCAUUAUGCAUUUCCACGAUCAAAGUGCAUUUCUGUCUUUGGGGGCUACAUUAUACAACUCAAUGAGUUCUGGAUACUCCUUGUAGCAGUUGACGAACUUCUCCAGAAAUUGUUUCUCUGGAUAUUUCAUGUAUGAAAAUAUACUAAGGUUACUGAUGCAAACUCCCCUAGACUUCAGACCUGUCACAAUCCGAUGCCUUGGCAUCAACCUUUUCUCCAAACUCAACAACAAUAAAUCUGGCCGAAAUGCAAGAUAAGAUGGAGUACAUCCGGCUUCAUUUACCAAGAACUCCAUCUUCCUCUGCAAACUCUUUAAAGAAAAUCGCACAAACGUAGGAGCCUUUCUGAAUGCAGCAAGGAAAUCAUCCUCGGACCACCCGAAGCCCUUGAAGAACUCCAAGUGAGCCUUGAAGUUAUUCUCGGAGACGCUCUGGAGCACACUCAGGAUCACGAGGAACAUCCCCGAGGUGCGAGGUACUCCCAAAACCUCGACACGGCUGAUUAACGCCUUCAGGGUUUCAGCAUUCCGGGUUAUGAGGAGGGGAUAUUGCCGUAGGAUCAUUGAGAGCUUCUGAUCCGUCAUCCCGCAAUCCCUUAGAAUUUCAAUGUUAGGCUGGAUCGUCUUCUCGAUGCUAUACCCGAGUAACCACCUGUUUCUCUUCCAUAUCUUCAUCAGUAAGUCGUUGGACCCGAGGAGGCCUUGCCAUAAUUGGAUCUUCGACAAGAUGGUCUGGGAAUUGUCGCUGAUGACGUCGUUANNNNNNNNNNNNNNNNNNNNNNNNNNNNNNNNNNNNNNNNNNNNNNNNNNNNNNNNNNNNNNNNNNNNNNNNNNNNNNNNNNNNNNNNNNNNNNNNNNNNNNNNNNNNNNNNNNNNNNNNNNNNNNNNNNNNNNNNNNNNNNNNNNNNNNNNNNNNNNNNNNNNNNNNNNNNNNNNNNNNNNNNNNNNNNNNNNNNNNNNNNNNNNNNNNNNNNNNNNNNNNNNNNNNNNNNNNNNNNNNNNNNNNNNNNNNNNNNNNNNNNNNNNNNNNNNNNNNNNNNNNNNNNNNNNNNNNNNNNNNNNNNNNNNNNNNNNNNNNCGGCGGAAUAAGAAUGGGUUGCGAGAAAAAGGGCAGCAUCGGCCGGACGACAGCAAGGGACGAAGGCAAGGGCUUUGGACAAGAGAGAGACGUAGGGCGACCUAUUCAUCAAUGUCAUCGUCUUCUUCUUCUUCUUCUUCUUCUUCUUUGUAGGUUCCUUCUCUUUACCAAAACCUAGCGAAGGUGGCGUAGCUGCGUAUAGAGGAGCGCGUUUAGGCCGGAAGUACCUGCGUCUUAAACCCUAGAAGUGCGUUACCGUGUUCGACAUUUUUUUUUCGGGCGGAGAUUACUGCGACCGCAGGCAUCUUUUUUUUCUUCGUCAACUUUUAGUUUGUUGAGGGGAGAAAAAACUUUUAUUGCGUGCCAACUAAAGAUAAUAAAAGGUGUUCUUUUAGAAAAAAGUUGCACUAUUAUUUUUUUAUCUUGGGUGUAUUUUUUAUAGUUAGAACAAAAAUAUACCCUUAAUCUUCUAUUAAAAAUGACUUGAUCAGCUAUUAAAAAAUUGAUAAUUAAUUAUCAAACAAAUUUUAAAAAAUAUAAAAAGCUAUACUAAUCAUUUUAAAAUCAAUAGAUAUGUAUCGAAGAUGAUUAAUAUCUAUUUUUUAUUUUAAAAACUUUAUAAUUAAUUAUCAAAUUAUAAUUUAUUUAAAUAAUAUAUAUGAUUAAGUCACAUAAGUUAAAAAUAUAAGAGUGUUUUUUGUCUAUAUAAAAAAUACCUAAGUAAAAAUGAAUAUGGAGGAUUUCAUCGAUAAAAAAAACUAAUACUAAAAAUUAUUUUUUUUAUAAAAGACCCAACAUAAAUGAAUGAAUGUUAUAAAAUAACUUAUUCGUCAUAAAAUUUGAUGGAUUAAUACAUAUGCUACUCUAAUUAUCAAGUUAAAGUUAAUAAUAAAAAAUUCAUGUAAUCUUUAAUGUCAUCGUAACCAUCAACUAUUUAUGAUGUGAAUGGAAAACCUACUCAUUAUUCACUUAAAAAUCUAUUCAAUAGAUUUUCACCGUAUAGGGAACCAAUAGAGACUCACAAACACGUCGACUAUCUUGCUACUGAGAAUUAAUACAAACAUAUGCUAACUAUGAAACAAAGCCCAAGGCAACUUCUAUCUAGAAAUUAAUAAUCAUUAGAUGAUCAUAUUCAUACUAAAAAUAGAAAGUCAUUCAUCUCAUUAAGAAGGUGCACCUUGAUAAUUACUUUUGAUUUAGAAUCGAUUAUAUUUGAUUUAACAUAUUGACAAGCAUUGUAAUUGUUAUGAAUAUCCUUCUACGGAAUCAAAUAGUUUGCAUAAUAUAUCUCACAUUUAUAAAGGCUUCUUCUCAUAUUUAUUAUUUUUCAAUAUCGAAGAAUUAUUCUGUCAGCUUAAGGGAUUUAUACUUGAUCUAGCAGGCUCUUUAUGCAAAGUAACUCAAAAUCUCUUUUCAAUUUGUAUCUCAAAAUUGUUAUAAUACCUGACUGUUUUUAAUGGUUCUUUAUAAUUGAAUAAGAUAUAUAAUAAAAUUAAUUAGAUUUUGAUAACGGAUAUUAGUUAAUAGAAAGAAGUAUCAAAAUAGGGCCAAGUGGGAAAAUAUCUUAUUAAUUAAUGAGUUAAGUGAGAGAAUAUCAAAAUAUAUGACCCUUUAUAAUUAAAUAAGAUAUCUAAUAAAACCGAUUGAAUUCUGAUAACGGAUAUUAGCUAAUAGAAAGGAAGUUGAUAUUAUAAUAUGAUUCCUUAUGGUACGCACUUGAUGAGAGGACUCUCAUAAUUACUUAUCAUAUACCCUCUAAUCUCGCAUAUAAAUAGAUAGAACCUCCUAGGUCUAAUGACAUGAUGUUUAUGUGACGUGAUGAUCGUGGACACAUACAUAAGAUACGAUAGGUGACAUUGAGAGAUUACGGUUCCUUUCUCAUCAUCUCUUAUCACUGAACUAUCAAUAACUAUAGUCUUGUGAAAAUGUAGACAGAGAUGGGAAGUGUUUAGUUCUCUUUGUAGAUCAAUAUUUGAUAUAGAUGUUUUUGCUCCACACAAACUCAUCUGCCACUAAGGCCAACAAGAGAGUUCCAGGUCACCAGCUCCAAAAUGGCACCAUAGUACAUUCUGAUAACCAUCCUACUUUAUUAAGAUCAAAGAAUGAUCAGGUGAUUCAACUAAUCUUAUCCAAGGCUAGCUAAUAAAAGGCCUAGGGAUUAAGUAUAAAAAAGAAACUCAUUAACUCAAGCUAAGAGGGGGGACUUUCUACGUACUAACCUAGUUAUACAACUUACACCACUAUCUUUUCCCUUUCGCUGACUUAAGCAUCGGAAGGGAUGCGUUGGGCAACUCCCAAUACUGGCCUAUCAUGCAAGAUUGCUAAUGGCCAAGAGACGACAUCACUCUUAGGAUGCAGCCAUGCAACCACGAGACAAUCCUUCAUUCGAGGACACAUGGAUGACCCAACCCCAGGGAAGAACGUCGCAACCAAGAAGACUCCAAACCCCCUACCCGAUCAUCCCGAAUCGGGUCCUCACCAAUAGAACGAUGUCUGAUCGGACCGCCUAUGUUGUCUCACUCAUCGGGUCACCCACAUCAGUCAAGAAAAGGCACCUGGGUAAACUUGCACCUUCGAUAGUGGAUCAACCGUGUUGAGUUAUUAGUCGAUGGUACUCAUGACACCAUCAAUAUCCUUAUAAUAUUUGAAUAUGAGGAUGGUGAUCCUACAUAGAUAGAGAAUUUUUUAGAUGACUUUGAAAGGUGUGUAAUAAAAUCUAAUAUAUCUUAUUUGAUUUCAAUCCCGAUAUUAAAAUUAAUAUAUAGCAUAUAAUAUAUUUUAUGCUUGGAACUUGCUAUGUGUCCUCUUUCCCUCUUCUUUCUACCCUUUACAUCUCUCUACAAUAAUCAUUAUUACAAUCCAAAAGCUAACCGUAAAUUAAGCAAAAGAGGUAAAUGGAACAAAAAACCACUUUUGGGACCCUGCCCUGUUUCUAUGUUGUCCCAAAAAGCCAAGUACCUAAAAAGCUUUUUCUUUGUCUCUAGAAUAGCUAAACAUGGCCAAAUUAAGUUGAGAUUUUGGCAGCAGAGAAGAGCGGAACAUAACUAAAACUUGUGCAAAACCAAGUGAAGAAUUGGUAAAUGAGUGCUUAUAUUUUACCUUGAUUUAAAGUAUCGAUGCUGAACCCACAUCUUGCCAAUGAAGUAUAAUGAAUUCAACCUCAAUCGUAAAGUAAGAACAGGAGGUAAAAGAAUGAACGCCAACCAUGGCCAUUUGCAAAGGAGAUGAUCAAACGAAUCCUUGCGUGCUAGGAGAUUGGAGGUGGGUUAAGCCAACACCAUCAUCCACAUACCCAAUAAUUACGCUCAGGUUAGAUAAGAUUCCAUGAGAAACUCACAUGCCUCAUUACGGUUAACUUGUUAGAUUUACCACUUCGUUUGGAUCAGAAGAUAAAUCCAUCCAGUAGAUAACAAGGAUUUGAAGCCCUUGCUCUGUGUAUGUAAUCUCUAGUGUGUUGUCAGAUCUAAGUCGAGGAAGAUAAAAGACACGAGAUGUAUGAGUUGAUAUAUCAUAUGCUUAAGAAAGUUCAAAAUAAUUUCUCAUGAUUUUCCAUUAGAUUAUUGUGGAAUUCCAAGUCGUAGACAAAGCAUGUACCUUUUGGAGUUCUUCGUACGUACACAAUAUCUUGUGACAGACAUCUUUAUUAAGAUCUUUGGUUAUUUGCAGACAAAAGAUAAGUACUGCACAGACGAAGGAUCAUAAGCACACUUCGUUAACCCAAGAAACCUGACUGAUUUGUACUCAUGUAAAGACUGAUCAUAAAGUAAGCAUUCUAAACCGUGCACUGAGAUGGAGCAUUGUGGUGAUGAGAUUAAACUGACUAACCCAGAAUUAAAAAGUAAAGAUUUAAUUUCUACAAUGAAAAUGAUGGAAGAGGUGCUAAUAACUUGUGAAAUGUGUAUGCUUUGAUAUGCAUUUGAUGGAGUUGUGUGCAUGCAUCAAAACCAAAUUUCAGUUGUCAGAUAUCAUUACUGAUUUGUUGGUAAUUAGUUCCACAAAUUGUUAUACCAGCUUGGGAAAAGAAUCUGUACAUGUCAUAACAUGUUAGAACAAUAAACACCAUGAUCUUAUAAAAGAAAAGUACUCGUUCUUUAAUCCUAUGUGGAAGGUCUCAUAAAAAACUUGAACAAUUUUAUGAAAAAACUUCACAUUUUAUUUUUUUAAAAAAAAUUGUAAAUAUUUUUCCCUUUUUUUUUUUCCGAACAUGAGCAUAUUGAUCCAAAAUGGUGCACUAAUCUAAAUAGAUAGAUUUGAUCAUUUAAGGCUGGGAGUCCAUUUAGAUGAUUUAUAAUAUUUAUAAAUAGAUUUUAUAGUAUUUUUGUUGUGAUGAUCGAAACAUUAUAAAAGGUUAAACAUUAUAGGCUUGUAAUUAGUUUGAUUGAGGUUUAGUUUAUUUAUGGUAUGCUUUACAAUAUUUUUCAUGGCUAAUAAAAACAUUAUAAUAAACUAAUUUUUUACUCCUAUUUGGAUGAUAUUAUUAUUAAAUUAUUAUAAAUACAUAGUAUGAUAUAUCAAAUUAUUUCUAGUGUGUUUGGAUUUCUCAGUUAUAGUAUUUUUAAAUAACGUUAUAGUGUUUUUGUAAGGUGUAAAGCCAUUGAAAAAUAGUAUUUUUCAAUUGUUCAUCUUUGAUUAUCAUUGAUCGUAGAUCAUUACAGCCUAUAGUUGGUUUGACCGAGUCCAUUUGGGUCAUUUAUAAUAUUUUUAUUAUUAUGAUCAAAAUACUAUAAAAAUUAAUUUUUGAUCCUCAGUAAUGAUCAUGCUACUGUACAAAACCAAUCAAUCAACUUGGAUUCACACACCUAUAGAUCGGUCUAAAAGGUAUCCAUGAAAUUAGCGGGAAAAAUAUCAUUGAGACCGGUAAGAGAUACUUUCGGUAUUAUUCAAAAUAGAAGGGAGAAACAUGAGACAUAAUUUAGAAUAAUAAUAAUAAUAAUAAUAAUAAUAAUAAUAAUAAUAAUAAUAAUAAUAAUAAUAAUAAUAAUAAUAAUAAUAAUAAUAAAAGAGAGCUUUUGCUGACAAACAAAUUCCUUGAUUUGUGCGCUGUAGUUGUAGGGUCAUUUAGACUUUGCAGCAUCAGAGAGUUCCCCUCUUCCCAACUCCUGUUUACUUAACAAUGAGCAUGAAUAUACGCCUACGACCAAAAAUUCCAUUUGGCGCCCGCAAAAUAUGGCUGCAGAAACUAAAUCCGGUGAAGAAAUGAAUGCCAUUUGCCCUUCACUUGCAUCUCAUAGGAGCAAAAGAAGGGGAAAAGAAUCUGGGCAUAAAAUCUAGUUAGCUAGAGUUUGGAUGCUUUCAUCUCAAGAAAUCUCUCUUUUUAUAUUUUCUUAAAGUUCAGUAGAUUCAAUGUAGAAGGCAUUGCAAUUUUCUACCUGUUUCUUCCUUUCUAUCUUUUCUUUUGGAAAAACAAAAGGAUGGCCAGAAUAUGCACAUUUUGGUUAUAUAUUCUCAACAAUGAUGAGAAUAAGAACAAUGAUAUGACUGCAGACAGGACCAAUAUCUAUGUUUUCAGAAAAUACAACCGAUAAGUCGUCAAAUGAACAGCAGUGCUGUGUGCAUUAGUCUUUAUAAAGUAUAAAUUCCACAUCAUACUUCACUUGAUCUCCAUCAAUAUGGUGGAAACAAAUUUAAAAGAAAGUUCAGUUUGAUAUGAUGUAAAACAAGAUAUCUCAUUCUUUGUUUGAUCUAAUUACAAAAAGUUAUGCUCAGAUCUAUAUCAUUUCUUAGUCUAGAGUAUAUUUGAACACACAACAAUAACAUUAAUUGCAAGCCAUAAUGAGCAGAUGUUGCCAAUCAGAAAUCUUAAAUUCGGGAAGCAGGGAUGAUACCGCAUUACCAACAAAACCUGAUAAUAACGAUUAAAAAUAAAUUGAUCUUGUUUAGCAAGCAAUUUUAGAGGGCAUAAAAUCCUAGAACAUAUAUAGUUCUACAAGUUGAAAGGAUCUCAGUCCUUUUAGAGACAAAAUCCCCCACAAAAAGUAUCAAGCCUUGCAAACAGCAUCAGUCUUUUCCUACUGAAAGAACCUGACCCUAUCCAGCAGCUAGUUCUGAGGCAGUACAGUACAUGUAUAAUUCUUCGCUGAUAACGACUCAAGCCUUUGUUAGGAAAACAUCUCUACGAUGAUCAACAUGCGAUAGGGUGCAAGUCAUCUAAAACUUCUCUUGAUCCCGAUAACUCAACAGGAGUAAGCAGUGCUUCAGUUUAAUUUAACCAAGUACCUACCUGCCAGAGACACUGCUGUUAAUUCUCCAAGGCCAAUAAUGUAUGAAUACCUAAGAAAAAGCACAAUGCAAAAGAUUGGAACUAGGACACAUACAACAUUUACUGGAGAUUAGCAUGCUACAAUACCUCAGGGAAGUUAUAUUGACGUAUUUGUCCAGAGACAACAAAACAACAAAGUCUUAAGAAAAGGAACACACCAAAAUAUUAAAAAUCGGACGAAUGGCUGAGACUAUCAUGCUAUACUACAACAGAAUAGCAUAUAUAAGAAUCUGGAGAACCAAGGGCUGGAAUCAAAUUUGAGAUUACAUGUUGCCAUUAGGCAAUAUAUUUAGAGAUGCCCUAUUGUCACAUUGAAGCACAAGUUUGUAACAUAAAAACAACCUGCAUAAUUUGACAUAUUAACUAGACUUCCAGAUCACAUUUUUGUUUGAUAGCUAUUACAGCUUUGACAAAAAUAAGACACCGAACAAAGGAUGCAAAAGAAACAUAUAGUAGCAAAAGCCAAAAAUGUUGAAAUGUGGAUUUUCAUAGUACAUAAACCAGUAUAACUACAUAUCAUAAAUAUAACCAAAGAUUCUAACGGUUAGAAAUAUCUUGACUUCAGUCUGACUGUGGGUAAAAUACAUUUCAGGAAGGCUGAAAUUGGUGUCAUCUGACAGCGGACAAAAUACAUUUUGGGAAGGGGGAAAUUGGCCUACAAGAAGUCAGCAAGUCUCAUUUCUCUUUCAUUACCUGAAGGCUGGCAAUGGUUGAAUUCUCCCUAGCAAAGUAACUCCUAGAAUUAUAUUUCCUUUUCCAAUUUGUUCAACAUAUCCUUACUAAUGUAAUCAAACUAGCACACUGCAGAUGCCAACCUCUGGAAGGUAACACAUACUAAAAGAGCAAUUUCCAAGAACCUUGUUAAUCCACUUCUUUUGCACCAAACACUCUGCAAAUGGAGCUAACACCCCAAGUAUUUUUUAUUGAUAAGAACAAUUUAUGAUCGAUACAAGACAACCUCUGGACAGUAACACCUACUAAAAUAUCAAUUUCCUAGAUCACUGCUAAUCCGCUUCUUUUGCACCAAACACCCUGCAUAUGGAGCUAACAAUCAAGUACUUUUGAUUGAUAAGAACAUUUUAUGCACUGAACACUCAAUAUGACCCAACCCAAAAAAUGAGAGGAUCGCACCCUCCGGAAAUUUAUGAUCCCGACAUCUGUAACGCACAGAGCACAAUAAUAAUAUUCAUUGACAAUAACUGAAAAUACAUCCCAUCAAGUGUCAUCAUUAUUACUGGAGUAAACAUCUAACUAUACUUUUAUUAAAUAUCAUAUAACAAUCUUCACCUUGCUAGAAUCGAACACUUCUCAAUCCAUAGUUCCCCAGCUACGGAUCAUCUGAAAUAUGUAAUUUUCAGAUCGAUAGGGAUUAUCUUAGUAGAAACAAGAUGUCAAGAAAUCUAGUUGUCUCAUGCAAUCAGCAAAAGAUAAGAAUAAUAAUGAAAAAAGAGUAUAACUUAGAAUAAAAGAUCUCACAAAUUCAUCAUGAGAAAAGCACAUCCAUUAGUGCACUUUGCUGCAUCGGAACUCGUCCGACUGCUCAGGAUGAAGCAACCUCCUUAUAGACUAAAUUCAUAUCACAUUCCCUGCUAUUAGUCCAUUACUAGGAUCAAGUGGUGCCCGGCAACAGUAGAAAUACGUCUUUCUAUGGAUGCAAGGAAUAUCUUAUAAGCUUCUAUGACGACUACUAAUCCCUUUCAAAAUUGCCUACUAAUCAUGACAAUGUUGUUCAAUCAUCCAUAUAUGUAUAUAUCAACAUGCUGCACAACCAUGCAACAACAUCCUUUCACAUGCUCAAGCGUCCAACUUAUGCAUCAUGGCACUUCUAACAAAUAUUAAUUAUAGGCUACAAUAGAGGCAUCAAUAUAAAAUUGAUUGCCAAAAGAAAUAUGAUCUAAUAACAGCAUAUUAAAAUUUCAUCAUGUCAGCAUAAAGAGAAUCUAGGUUUUAUGAGGCACCUAACACUAUAUUGAUCAUCCAAAUUGGAUACAGAGUCCAAAAAAGUUAUUAUUGAUUUACAAUUCAGUCCUCAAAAUUUACAAUCAUUUCUUCAAUACAUUGCAAACCAGUCCCUAGCAGUCUUAAUGGGCAGGACCUUAGGCAGCCACGUGGAACUUGGUCUCACAGGCAGGACCACAUGGAGUUGGCCUGUCUGAGCUGAAGUGCAUGAAGUUUAGACCACCCCCGUACUCAAAUGCUUAAAUUGGUAAAGGACAACUUGUACAUUCCAGUGCUUAAAUUGAGAACAAAACAUUGGCAAUACGGAAAGUGUGGUUUCCUUCAUAAAUCUAAGAGUUUCAACUUCAUUCUCAAGAAGACGGUCAGCUUCAAACUAUCAUGGUGGAAACCUGGUAUUCAUUAAGGUUUUGCAUUUAUAAAGAGAGAAAUUUCAACUGAAUUGACCGAUCAGCAAGAAGAAAGAAGUGGUUCAAACUAAUCACUUAAGAAAGAGAACAAAAUUUGAUAAACAAAAUAUACAAAAAAUUGAAACCCAACCUCAUUUCCCUUUUUUGGGUUUCGGGUUUGGUUUUGGAAUGGAGGGACUUUAGUAAAUUUAUAUAAAAGGUGACCAACCCUUGCCCUAAAUCAAAAGCCUCAUCAUCCAGCUCAAAAUCACCAAAGCAUCCAACCAUACCAUCCAAAAGAAUCCUACUUCUUAUCAUUUGAAAAAAUUAACCAAAACUCGAAACCUAAAUUACCAAAUAUCCGAAGUCAAAUCAAUUCAAAACUUCAGGUGUCCAAUAACCUACAUAAGUCUGAUAUCUUCCAGUAGACUUAAAACAAAUAGGACAAGAAUAACAAUUCUAUGUGGCGUCUACACAAGUGAUUAUAAACAAGCAAUUAACUCUAUCGGCAAUUUCAUCACAAAUCUUCUCAACAUUCUUCAUUUUCUUACUACGUGUAAGCAUCCAAACUCAUAUUACAUUCACAGAAACGAAGUAAAUGGCAGGAAUUAUUUGGUCGCAAACUGUAGAUCAUGUUAUGCGGAUAGUGGAAAAUUGGAACCUGGAAACAUAACUUGCUGGUACAAAAGCUUGUGCUAUGCAUUAUGCAUUUCCACGAUCAAAUGCAGUGAUGUUUUUGGGGACUCCAUUAUACAACUCAAUGAGUUCUGGAUACUCCUUGUAGCGGUUGACGAACUUCUCCACAAAUUUCUUCUCUGAAUAUUUCACGUAUGUAGACAUACUAAGGUUACUGAUGCAAACUCCCCUAGACUUCAGGCCUGUCACAAUCUGAUGCCUUGGCAUCAACCUUUUCUCCAAACUGCACAACAAAAUAUCUGGCCGAAGUGCAAUAUGAGAUGGAGCACAUCCGGCUUCAUUUACCAAGAACUCCAACUUCCUCUGCAAACUCUUUAAAGAAAUUUGCACAAACGUAGGAGCCUUUCUGAAUGCAGCAAGGAAAUCAUCCUCGGACCACCCGAAGCCCUCGAAGAACUCCAAGUGAGCCUUGAAGUUAUUCUCGGAGACGUUGUGGAGCACAGUCAGGGUCAAGGGGAACAUCCCUGAGGUGCAAGCUACUCCCAAACCCUCGGCACGACUGAUUAACGCCUUCAGGGUUUCAGCAUUCCGGGUUAUGAGGAGAGGAUAUUGCCUUAGGAUCAUUGAGAGCUUCUGAUCCGUCAUCCCGCAAUCCCUUAGAAUUUCAAUGUUAGGCUGGAUCGUCUUCUCGAUGCUAUACCCGAGAAACCUCCUGUUUUUCUUGCACAAGUUCAUCAGUAAGUCGUUGGACCCGAGGAGGCCUUGCCAUAAUUGGAUCUUGGACAAGAUGGUCUGGGAUUUGUCGCUGAUGACGUCGUUAUUCGAUCUGACGAGGUGGGUGAUGUCGGAGCAGGAGAAGCCCAGAUCCUGCAAAGCUCGGAACUUUGGGGCCAGGGUCUUCUCCACGUCGAGGAGAAGCCACCGGGGGUUUGCAGAUAUGACCUUUUUCACCUGGGUGUUGUCAAAACCGUAGCUUUUAAAAAAGCCAAGGACGGAGUCAGGCUGGUGGCGGGAUUCGACGCGACCAAGGAGCUUCGAGGCUUUGGCCGCCUGAUCAGGAUGGAAGCCACAGUAGCUGACCAGGUAUUCAGCCAUAAGGCUGCUCUCUGGAGCACCGGAGGCGGCGGAAUAAGAAUGGGUUGCGAGAAAAAGGGCAGCAUCGGCCGGACGACAGCAAGGGACGAAUGCAAGGGCUUUGGACAAGAGAGAGACGUAGGGCGACCUAUUCAUCAAUGUCAUCGUCUUCUUCUUCUUCUUCUUCUUCUUUGUAGGUUCCUUCUCUUUACCAAAACCUAGCGAAGGUGGCGUAGCUGCGUAUAGAGGAGCGCGUUUUGGCCGGAAGUACCUGCGUCUUAAACCCUAGAAGUGCGUUACCGUGUUCGACAUUUUUUUUUUCUGGCGGAGAUUACUGCGACCGCAGGAGUCUUUUUUUUCUUUGUCAACUUUUAGUUUGUUGAGGGGAGAAACAACUUUUAUUGCGUGCCAACUAAAGAUAAUAAAAGGUGUUCUUUUAGAAAAAAUUUGCACUAUUAUUUUUUUAUCUAGGGUUUAUUUUUUAUAGUUAGAACAAAAAUAUACCCUUAAUCUUCUAUUAAAAAUGACUUGAUCAGCUAUUAAAAAAUUGAUAUCAAAAAUUUUUAAAAAAAUAUAAAAAGCUAUGCUAAUCAUUUUAAAAUCAAUAGAUAUGCAUCGAAGAUGAUUAAUAUCUAUUUUUAUUUUAAAAAUUUUUAUAAUUAAUUAUCAAAUUAUAAUUUAUUUAAAUAAUAUCUAUGAUUAAGUCACAUAAGUUAAAAUAUAAGAGUGUUUUUUGUCUAAAUAAAAAUACCUAAAUAAAAAUGAAUAUGGAGGGUUUCAUCGAUAAGAAAACUAAUACUAUAAAUUAUUUUUUUAUAAAAGACCCGACAUACAUGAAUGAAUGCUAGAAAACAACUAAUCCAUCAUAAAAUUUGAUGAACUAAUACAUAUGUAUUCUAAUUAUCAAGUUAAAGUCAACAAUAAAAAAUUCAUGUAAUCUUUAAUGCCAUCAUAACCAUCAACUAUUUAUGAUGUGAAUGGCAAAACCGCUCAUUGUUCACUUAAGAAUCUACUCAUUAGAUUUUCACUAGAUAGAGAACAGACAACAACUCGUAAACAUGUCAACUAUCUUACUAGAAACAUACACUAUCUAUGAAACAAUGCCCAAGGCAACUUCUAUCUAGAAAUUAAUAAUAAUUAGAUGAUCAUGUUCACACUCAAAAUAGAAAGUCAUUCAUCCUAUAAUCAUUAACUUAUUAUAUCCAUACCAAGAUUAAGAAAGUAUCCCGAUGAUUAACAUUGAUUUAGAUUCGAUUAUAUUUGAUUUAACAUAUUGACAAAUAUUGUAAUUGGUAUAUAUAUCCUUCGACGGAAUCAAAUAAUUUGGGUAAUAUAUCUCACGGCUAAUUCUCACUCUUUAUUAUUUUUCAAUAUCGAAAAAUUAUUCUGUCAGUUUAAGGGAUAUAUACUUGAUCUAGCUAGCUCUUUAUACAAAGUAACUCAAAAUCUCUUUUCAAUUUAUCAUCUCAAAAUUAUUAGAAUACAUGACUCUUUAUAAUUGAAUAAGAUAUAUAAUAAAAUUAAUUAGAUUUUAAUGACGAAUAUUAGUCAAUAGAAAGAAAUAUCAAAAUAUGUGCCAAGUGAGAGAAUAUCUUAUAAAUUAAUGGGCUAAGUGAGAGAAUAUCAAAUAUGUGACCCUUUAUAAUUGAAUAAGAUAUAUAAUAAAACUAAUUAGAUUAUGAUAAUGGAUAUUAGCCAAUAGAAAGAAAGUUUAUAUUAUAGUAUGAUUCCUUAGGGGGUGCCCUUGAUGGGAGGAACUCUCUUAAUUAUUUAUCAUAGACUCUCUACUCUCGUCUAUAAAUAGAUGGGACCUCAUAGGGACUAAUGACAUGAUGUUUAUAUGAUGUAAUGGUCAUGAACACAUACACGAGAUACAAUAUGUGACAAUGAGAGAUUACGAUUCCUUUCUCAUCCUCUCUUGUCUCUGAACCAUUAAUAACUAUAAUCUUGUGAAAAGGUAGAAAGAGAUGAGGAGUGUUUAGUUCUCCUUGUAGAUCGACAUUUGAUAUAAACGAUUUUGCCCCACACAAACUCAUCUACCACUAAGGCCAACACCUAUGGAGAGUUUCAGGUCAUUAGCUUCGAAAUGGCACCAUAGUGUCGAUAACCAUCCUACUUUAUUAAGAUCAAAGAAUAAUCAGGUGAUUUUGCUAAUCUUAUCCAAGGCCAACCAAUAAAAGGCCUAGGGAUCAAGUAUAAAAAGGAACUCAUUAACUCACGCUGAGAGGGGGGACUCUCUAUACACUAACCUAGUCAUACAGCUUACACUACUAUCUUUCCCCUUUCACUGACUUAAGCAUCGGAAGGAAUGCGUUGGGCAACCCCUAAUGCUGGCCUAUCAUGCAAGAUUGCUGACGGUCAAGUGAUGAUCGGACCCAAUCCUUGUCAAUAGAACCUCGUAAUCUUUAAUGCCAUCAUAACCAUCAACUAUUUAUGAUGUGAAUGGCAAAACUGCUCAUUGUUCACUUAAGAAUCUACUCAAUAGAUUUUCACUAGAUAGAGAACAGACAACGACUCGUAAACAUGUCAACUAUCUUACUAGAAACAUACACUAUCUAUGAAACAAUGCCCAAGGCAACUUCUAUCUAGAAAUUAAUAAUAAUUAGAUGAUCAUGUUCACACUAAAAAUAGAAAGUCAUUCAUCCUAUUAUCAUUAACUUAUUAUAUCCAUACCAAGAUUAAGAAAGUAUCCUGAUGAUUAACUUUGAUUUAGAAUCGAUUAUAUUUGAUUUAACAUAUUGACAAACAUUGUAAUUGGUAUAUAUAUCCUUCGACGGAAUCAAAUAAUUUGGGUAAUAUAUCUCACGGCUAAUUCUCACUCUUUAUUAUUUUUCAAUAUCGAAAAAUUAUUCUGUCAGUUUAAGGGAUAUAUACUUGAUCUAGCUAGCUCUUUAUACAAAGUAACUCAAAAUCUCUUUUCAAUUUAUCAUCUCAAAAUUAUUAGAAUACAUGACUCUUUAUAAUUGAAUAAGAUAUAUAAUAAAAUUAAUUAGAUUUUGAUGAAAACUAUUAGUCAAUAGAAAGGAAUAUCAAAAUACGUGCUAAGUGGGAGAAUAUCUUAUAAAUUAAUGGGCCGCCUCCGGUGCUCCAGAGAGCAGCCUUAUGGUUAAUAAAAACACUAUACGUGCUAAGUGGGAAAUUCCUAUGAUGGCUAAUAAAAACACUAUAAUAAACUAAUUUUACUCUUAUUUGGAUGAUAUUAUUGUUAAAUUAUUUUAAAUAUAUGAUAUAUCAAAUGGUUUGUAGUAUGUUUGGAUUUCUCAGUUAUAGUAUUUUUUAAAUAACAUUAUAGUGUUUUUAUAAGGUGUAAAGCAAUUGAAAAAUCUUUGAUUAUCGUUGAUCGUAAAUGUGUAGUUAGUUUGACUGAAUCUAUUCGGGUUAUUUAUAAUAUUUUUAUUAUGAUAAUCAAAAUACUAUAAAAAUUAAUUUUUGAUUCUCAUUUUGAUGACCAAACUAUUGUGUAAAUCAUAUAAAUCAGAUCAUGCUACUGUACAAACCAAUCCAUCAACUUGGAUUCAAACACCGAUAUAUCGGUCUAUAAGGUAUCUAUGAAACUAGUGGGAAAAAUAUCAUUGAGGCUGGUAAGAAAUACUUUCAGUAUUAUUCAAAAUAGAAGGUAUCAUUUGAGAAAUAUGAGACAUCUUUUAGGAAAAUAAUAAUAAAAAAAGUGAGACAUCUUCGAAAUCACCCGAAAACUUUUGCUCACUUGUUUACUAGGGUCUUCUAGACUUUGCAGCAUCAAGAGAGUUCCUCUCCUCCGAACUCCUGUUUACCUAACAUCUCUACGAUGAUCAACAUGCGUUAGGGUGCAAGUCAACUAAAACUUCCCUUGAUCCCGAUAACUCAACAAGAGUAAGCAGUGCUUCAGUUUAAUUUGACCAAGUACGUGCCUGCCAGAGACACUGCAGUUAAUUCUACAAGGCCAAUAAUGUAUGAAUACAUAAGAAAAAGCUCAACGCAAAAGAUUGGAAGAUUAUUUUGAUGUAUUUGUACAGAGAAAACAAUACAACAAAGUCUUUAGAAAAGGAACACACCAAAAGAUUAAAAAUAGGACGAAUGGCUGAGACUAGCAUGCUAUACUAUAUAAGAAUCUGGAGAACCAAGGGUGGAAUCAAAUUCGAGAUUACAUGUUGCUAUUAGGCAAUAAAUUUAGAGAUGCUCUAUUGUCACAUUGAAGCACAAGUUUGUAACAUAAAAAACAACCUGCAUAAUUUGACAUAUUAACUAGACUUCCAGAUCAACUUUUUGUUUGAUAGCUAUUACAGCUUUGACAAAAAUAAGACACCGAACAAAGGAUGCAAAAGAAACAUAUAGUAGCAAAAGCCAAAAAAGUUGAAAUGUGGAUUUUCAUAGUACAUAAACCAGUAUAACUACAUAUCAUAAAUAUAACCAAAGAUUCUAACUGUUAGAAAUAUCUUGACUUCAGUCUGAGUGUGGGUAAAAAACAUUUCAAGAAGGCUGAAAUUGGUGUCAUCUGACAGCGGACAAAAUACAUUUUGGGAAGGGAGAAAUUGGCCUACAAGAAGUCAGCAAGUCUCAUUUCUCUUUCAUUACCUGAAGGCCGGCAAUGGUUGAAUUCUCCCUAGCAAAGUAACUCCUAGAAUUAUAUUUCCUUUUCCAAUUUGUUCAACAUAUACUUACUAAUGUAAUCAAACUAGCACACUGCAGAUGCCAACCUCUGGAAGGUAACACAUACUAAAAGAGCAAUUUCCAAGAACCUUGUUAAUCCACUUCUUUUGCACCAAACACUCCGCAAAUGGAGCUAACACCCCAAGUAUUUUUUAUUGAUAAGAACAAUUUAUGAUCGAUACAAGACAACCUCUGGACAGUAACACCUACUAAAAUAUCAAUUUCCAAGAUCACUGCUAAUCCACUUCUUUUGCACCAAACACCCUGUAAAUGGAGCUAACAAUCAAGCACUUUUGAUUGAUAAGAACAUUUUAUGCACCGAACACUCAAUAUGACCCAACCAAAAAAAUGAGAGGAUCGCACCCUCCGUAAACUUAUGAUCCAGACAUCUGUAACGCACAGAGCACAAUAAUAAUAUUCAUUGACAAUAAUGGAAAAUGCAUCCCAUCAAGUCUCAUCAUUAUUACUGGCGUACACAUCUAACUGUGCUUUUAUUAAAUAUCAGAUAACAAUCUUCACAUUGCUAGAACUGAAAAAUUCUCAAUCCUUAGCUACCCAGCUACGGAUCAUCUGAAAUAUGUACUUUUCAGAUCGAUAGGGAUUAUCUUAGUAGAAACAAGACGUCAAGAAAUCUAGUUGUGUCCCACGCAAUCAGCUAAAGAUAAGAAUAAUAAUGAAAAAAGAGCAUAAAUUAGGAUAAAAGAUCUCACAAAUUCAUCAUGAGAAAAGCACAUCCAUCAGUGCACUUUGCUGCAUCGGAACUCGUCCGAGGGAUGAAGCUACCUCCUUAUAGACUAAAUUCAUAUCACAUUACCUGCUAUUAGUCCAUUACUAGGAUCAAGUGGUGCCCGGCAACAGUCGAAAUACGCAUUUCUAUAGAUGCAAGGAAUAUCUUAUAAGCUUGUUUGACGACUACUAAUCCCUUUCAAAAUUGCCUACGAAUAAUGACAAUGUUGUUCAAUCAUCCAUAUAUGUAUAUAUCAACAUGCUGCACAACCAUGCAACAACAACCUUUCACAUACUCAAGCAUCCAACUUAUGCAUCAUGGCACUUCUAACAAAUAUUAAUAUGCGUCAAUUAUAGGCUAAAAUAGACGCAUCAAUAUAAAAUUUAUUGCCAAAAGAAAUAUGAACUAAUAACAGCAUAUUAAAAUUUCAUCACAUCAGCAUACAGAGAAUCUAGGUUUUAUGAGGCACCUAACACUAUAUUGCUCAUCCAAAUUGGAUACAGAGUUCAAAAAAGUUAUUAUCGAUUUACAAUUCAGUCCUUGAAAUUUACAAUCAUUUCUUCAUUACAUUGCAAACCAGUCCCUAGCAGUCUUAAUGGGCAGGCCCUUAGGCAGCCACGUGGAACUUGGUCUCAAAGGCAGGACCACAUGGAGUUGGCCUGUCUGAGCUGAAGUGCAUGAAGUUUAGACCACCCCCGUACUAAAAUGCUUAAAUUGGUAAAGGACAACUUGUACAUUCCAGUGCUUAAAUUGAGAACAAAACAUUGUCAAUACGGAAAGUGUGGUUUCCUUCAUAAAUCUAAGAGUUACAACUUCAUUCUCAAGAAGACAGUCAGCUUCAAACUAUCAUGGUGGCAACCUGGUAUUCAUUAAGGUUUUGCACUUAUAAAGAGAGAAAUUUCAACUGAAUUGACCGAUCAGCAAGAGGAAAGAAGUGGUUCAAACUAAUCACUUAAGAAAGAGAACAAAGUUUGAUAAACAAAAUAUACAAAAAAUUGAAACGCAACCUCAUCUACCUUUUUUGGGUUUUCGGUUUGGUUUAGGAUAUGAGGGACUUUAGUAAAUUUAUAUAAAAGGUGACCAACCCUUGCCCUAAAUCAAAAGCCUCAUCAUCCAGCUCAAAAUCACCAAAGCAUCCUACCAUACCAUCCAAAAGAAUCCUACUUCUUAUCAUUUGAAAAAAUAACCAAAACUCGAAACCUAACUUAGCAAAUAUCCAUAGUUAAAUCAAUCAAAACUUCACGUGUCCAAUAACCUACAUAAGUCUGAUAUCUUCCAGUAGACUUAAAACGAAUGGGACAAGAAUAACAAUUCCAUGUGGCGUCUACACAAGUGAUUAUCAACAAGCAAUUAACUCUAUCGGCAAUAUCAUCACAAAUCUUCUCAACAUUCUUCAUUUUCUUACUACGUGUAAGCAUCCAAACUCAUCUUACAUUCACAGAAAACGAAGUAAAUGGCAGGAAUUAUUUGGUCGCAAACUGUAGAUCAUGUUAUGCGGAUAGUGGAAAAUUGGAACCUGGAAACAUAACUUGCUGGUACAAAAGUUUGUGCUAUGCAUUAUGCAUUUCCACGAUCAAAUGCAGUUCUGUUUUUGGGGACUCCAUUAUACAACUCAAUGAGUUCUGGAUACUCCUUGUAGCGGUUGACGAACUUCUCCACAAAUUUCUUCUCUGGAUAUUUCGCGUAUGUAGACAUACUAAGGUUACUGAUGCAAACUCCCCUAGACUUCAGGCCUGUCACAAUCUGAUGCCUUGGCAUCAACCUUUUCUCCAAACUGCACAACAAAAUAUCUGGCCGAAGAGCAAGAUGAGAUGGAGCACAUCCGGCUUCAUUUACCAAGAACUCCAUCUUCCUCUGCAAACUCUUUAAAGAUAAUCCCACAAGCGUAGGAACCUUUCUGAAUGCAGCAAGGAAAUCAUCCUCGGACCACCCGAAGCCCUUGAAGAACUCCAAGUGAGCCUUGAAGUUCUUCUCGGUGAUUCUCUGGAGCACACACAGGGUAAGGGGGAAGAUCCCUGAGGUGCGAGGUACUCCCAAACCCUCGACACGACUGAUUAACGCCUUCAGGGUUUCAGCAUUCCGGGUUAUAAGGAGGGGGCGGUGCCGUAUGAUCAUUGAGAGCUUCUGAUCCGUGAUCCCGCAAUCCCUUAGAAUUUCAAUGUUAGGCUGGAUCGUCUUCUCGAUGCUAUACCCGAGAAACCUCCUGUUUUUCUUGCACAAGUUUACCAAAAAGUCGUUGGACUCGAGGAGGUCUUGCCAUAAUUGGAUCUUGGACAAGAUGUUCUCGGAUUUGUCGCUGGUGACGUCGUUAUUCGAUCUGACGAGGUGGGUGAUGUCGGAGCAGGAGAAGCCCAGAUCCUGCAAAGCUCGGAACUUUGGAGCCAGGGUCUUCUCCACGUCGAGGAGAAGCCACCGGGGGUUUGCAGAUAUGACCUUUUUCACCUGGGUGUUGUCAAAACCGUAGCUUUUAAAUAAGCCAAGGACGGAGUCAGGCUGGUGGCGGGAUUCGACGCCGCCAAGGAGCUUCGAGGCUUUGGCCGCCUGAUCUGGAUCGAAGCCACAGGAGCUGACCAGGUAUUCAGCCAUAAGGCUGCUCUGUGGAGCACCGGAGGUGGCGGAGUAAGAAUGGGUUGCGAGAAAAAGGGCAGCAUCGGCCGGACGACAGCAAGGGACGAAGGCAAGGGCUUUGGACAAGAGAGAGACGUAGGGCGACCUAUUCAUCAAUGUCAUCGUCUUCUUCUUCUUCUUCGUAGGUUCCUUCUCUUUACCAAAACCUAGCGAAGGUGGCGUAGUUGCGUAUAGAGGAGCGCGAUUAGGCCGGAAGUACCUGCGUCUUAAACCCUAGAAGUGCGUUACCGUGUUCGACAUUUUUCUGGUUGGCUAGUUAUUCCCUAGUCAUUUUACUGGUUAGCCUUGGAUAAGAUUAGUUAAAUCACUUGAUCAUUUUUUGAUCUUAAUAAGGUAGGGUGGUUAUCAGAAUACACUAUGGUGCCAUUUCGGAGCUGGUGAUCUGGAACUCUCCAUAGGUGUCGGCCUUGUGACAGAUGAGUUGGCGUAGGGCAAAAUCGUCUCUAUCAAAUGUCGAUAUACAAGGAGAACCAAACAUUCAUCUCUUUCUACCUUUUCACAAGACUAUAGUUAUUAAUGUUUCAGAGACAAGAGAGGAUGAAAAAAGAAUCGUAAUCUCUCAAUGUCACAUAUAGUAUCUCGUGUAUGUGUCCACGUGUAUGUGUCCAUGACCGUCACAUCAUAUAAACAUCAUGUCAUUAGCCCCUAGGAGGUCCGAUAUAUUUAUAGGUGAGAGUUGAGGAUCAAUGAUAAGUAAUUAGGAGAGUUUCUCCUAUCAAGAGCGUCCCUUAAGAAAUCAUACUAUAAUCUGAAUAUCCUUUAUACUGGCUAAUAUCCGUUAUCAGAAUUCAAUCAAUUUUAUUAUAUAUCUUAUUCAAUUAUAAAGGGUCACAUAUUUUGAUAUUCUCCUACUUAGCUCAUAUAUUCUCUAUCUUUGCCCAUAGUUUGAUAUUCCUUUUUAUAGAUUAAUAUUCGUAAUCAAAAUCUAAUUAAUUUUAUUAUAUAUCUUAUUCAAUUAUAAAGAGUCCUGUAUUCUAACAAUUUUGAUAUGACAAAUUGAAAAGAUGUUUUGAGUUACUUUGCAUAAAGAGCUAGCUAGAUCAAGUAUAAAUCCCUUAAUAUGAGAGAAUAAUUCUCCAAUACUGAAAAAUAAUAAAGAGUGAGAAGAAACCUUUAUAAAGGUGAGAUAUAUUACUCAAACUAUUUAAUUCCGUAAAAGGAUAUUUAUACUAAUUAUAAUGCUUGUCAAUAUGUUAAUCAAAUAUAAUCAAUUCUAAAUCAGGAUGCACCUUCUUAAUCUUAGUAUGGAUAUAAUAAGUUAAUAAUUGUGAGAUGAAUGACUUUCUAUUUUUAUGGUGAACAUGAUCAUCUAAUUACUAUUAAUUUCUAGAUAGAAGUUGCUUGAGGCUUUGUUUCAUAGAUAGCAUAUGUUUGUAGCAAUUCUAAGUAGCAAGAUAGUUGACGUGUUUGCGAGUCUCUAUCAGUUCCCUAUUUGAUAAAAAUCUAUUGAGUAGAUUCUCAAGUGAACAAUGAGCAAUUUUGCCAUUCAUAUCAUAAAUAGUUGAUGCUUAUGAUGAUAUUUAAGAUUACAUGAACAUUUUAUUGUUGACUUAAACUUGAUAAUUAGAGUAGCAUAGGUAUUAAUCCAUCAAAUUUUAUGAUGAAUAAGUUGAUUUCUAGCAGUAAUUCAUGCAUGUUGGGUCUUUUAUAAAAGAAAAAAUUCUAGUAUUAUUUUUUUUUAUUGAUGAAACCUUCCAUAUUCAUUUUUACUUAGGUUUUUUUUAUUUAGACAAAAAACACUCUUAUAUUUUUUGCUUAUGUGACUUAAUCAUAGAUAUUAUUUAAAUAAAUUAUAAUUUGAUAAUUAAUUAUAAAAAAAACUAAAAUAAAAAAUAGAUAUUAAUCAUCUUCGAUGCAUAUCUAUUGAUUUUAAAAUGAUUAGCAUAGUUCUUUUUUUUUUUUUUUUUAAUUAUGAUAAUUAAUUAUCAAUUUUUUAAUAGCUGAUCAAGUCAUUUUUAAUAGAAGAUUAAGGGUAUAUUUUUGUUCAUACUAUAAAAAAUAAACCCUAGAUAAAAAUAAAUAUAGGGAUGCUAUCCGAUAAAAAAAUAAUAGUGCAAUUUUUUUCUAAGAGAACACCUUUUAUUAUCUUUAGUUGGCACGCAAUAAAAGUUUUUUCUCCCCUCAACAAACUAAAAGUUGACGAAGCAAAAAAAAAGACGCCUGCGGUCGCAGUAAUCUCCGCCCGAAAAAAAAUUCUCGAACACGGUAACGCACUUAUAGGGUUUAAGACGCAGGUACUUCCGGCCUAAACGCGCUCUUCUAUACGCAGCUACGCCACCUUCGCUAGGUUUUGGGAAAGCGAAGGAACCUACAAAGAAGAAGAAGAAGACGAUGACAUUGAUGAAUAGGUCGCCCUACGUCUCUCUCUUGUCCAAAGCCCAUGCCUUCGUCCCUUGCUGUCGUCCGGCCGAUGCUGCCCAUUUUCUCGCAACCCAUUCUUACUCCGCCGCCUCCGGUGCUCCACAGAGCAGCCUUAUGGCUGAAUACCUGGUCAGCUCCUGUGGCUUCGAUCCUGAUCAGGCGGCCAAAGCCUCGAAGCUCCUUGGCCACGUCGAAUCCCGCCACCAGCCUGACUCCGUCCUUGGCUUAUUUAAAAGCUACGGUUUUGACAACACCCAGGUGAAAAAGGUCAUAUCUACAAACCCCCGGUGGCUUCUCCUCGACGUGGAGAAGACCCUGGCCCCAAAGUUCCGAGCUUUGCAGGAUCUGGGCUUCUCCUGCUCCGACAUCACCCACCUCGUCAGAUCGAAUAACCACGUCAUCAGCCACAAAUCCCAGAACAUCUUGUCCAAGAUCCAAUUAUGGCAAGGCCUCCUGGGGUCCAACGACUUACUGAUGAAGAUAUGGAAGAGAAACAGGUGGUUUCUCGGGUAUAGCUUCGAGAAGACGAUCCAGCCUAGCAUUGAAAUUCUAAGGGAUUGCGGGAUCACGGAUCAGAAGCUCUCAAUGAUCAUACCGCAAUAUCCCCUCCUUAUAACCCGGAAUGCUGAAACCCUGAAGGCGUUAAUCAGUCGUGUCGAGGGUUUGGGAGUACCUCGCACCUCGAGGAUGUUCCUCCUGAUCCUGAGUGUGCUCCUGAGCGUCUCCGAGAAGAACUUCAAGGCUCACUUGGAGUUCUUCAAGGGCUUCGGGUGGUCCGAGGAUGAUUUCCUUGCUGCAUUCAGAAAGGCUCCUACGUUUGUGCAAUUAUCUUUAAAGAGUUUGCAGAGGAAGAUGGAGUUCUUGGUAAAUGAAGCAGGAUGUGCUCCAUCUCAUCUUGCACUUCGGCCAGAUAUUUUGUUGUGCAGUUUGGAGAAAAGGUUGAUGCCAAGGCAUCAGAUUGUGACAGGCCUGAAGUCUAGGGGAGUUUGCAUCAGUAACCUUAAUAUGUCUACAUACAUGAAAUAUCCAAAGAAGAAAUUUGNNNNNNNNNNNNNNNNNNNNNNNNNNNNNNNNNNNNNNNNNNNNNNNNNNNNNNNNNNNNNNNNNNNNNNNNNNNNNNNNNNNNNNNNNNNNNNNNNNNNNNNNNNNNNNNNNNNNNNNNNNNNNNNNNNNNNNNNNNNNNNNNNNNNNNNNNNNNNNNNNNNNNNNNNNNNNNNUGGAGUUCUUGGUAAAUGAAGCAGGAUGUGCUCCAUCUCAUCUUGCACUUCGGCCAGAUAUUUUGUUGUGCAGUUUGGAGAAAAGGUUGAUGCCAAGGCAUCAGAUUGUGACAGGCCUGAAGUCUAGGGGAGUUUGCAUCAGUAACCUUAAUAUGUCUACAUACAUGAAAUAUCCAAAGAAGAAAUUUGUGGAGAAGUUCGUCAACUGCUACAAGGAGUAUCCAGAACUCGUUGAGUUGUAUAAUGGAGUCCCCAAAAACAGAACUGCAUUUGAUCGUGGAAAUGCAUAAUGCAUAGCACAAGCUUUUGUACCAGCAAGUUAUGUUUCCAGGUUCCAAUUUUCCACUAUCCGCAUAACAUGAACUACAGUUUGCAACCAAAUAAUUCCUGCCAUUUACUUCGUUUUCUGUGAAUGUAAGAUGAGUUUGGAUGCUUACAUGUAGUAAGAAAAUGAAGAAUGUUGAGAAGAUUUGUGAUGAUAUUGCUGAUAGAGUUAAUUGCUUGUUGAUAAUCACUUGUGUAGACGCCACAUGGAAUUGUUAUUCUUGUCCCAUUCGUUUUAAGUCUACUGGAAGAUAUCAGACUUAUGUAGGUUAUUGGACACGUGAAGUUUUGAAUUGAUUUAACUAUGGAUAUUUGGUAAUUUAGGUUUCGAGUUUUGGUUAUUUUUUCAAAUGAUAAGAAGUAGGAUUCUUUUGGAUGGUAUGGUAGGAUGCUUUGGUGAUUUUGAGCUGGAUGAUGAGGCUUUUGAUUUAGGGCAAGGGUUGGUCACCUUUUAUAUAAAUUUACUAAAGUCCCUCCUAUCCAAAACCAAACCCAAAACCCAAAAAAGGGAGAUGAGGUUGCGUUUCAAUUUUUUGUAUAUUUUGUUUAUCAAACUUUGUUCUCUUUCUUAAGUGAUUAGUGUGAACCACUUCUUUCCUCUUGCUGAUCGGUCAAUUCAGUUGAAAUUUCUCUCUUUAUAAAUGCAAAACCUUAAUGAAUACCAGGUUGCCACCAUGAUAGUUUGAAGCUGACUGUCUUCUUGAGAAUGAAGUUGUAACUCUUAAAUUUAUGAAGGAAACCACACUUUCCGUAUUGACAAUGUUUUGUUCACAAUUUAAGCACUGGAAUAUACAAGUUGUCCUUUACCAAUUUAAGCAUUUGAGUACGGGGGUGGUCUAAACUUCAUGCACUUCAGCUCAGACUGGCCAACUCCAUGUGGUCCUGCCUCUGAGACCAAGUUCCACGUGGCUGCCUAAGGUCCUGCCCAUUAAGACUGCUAGGGACUGGUUUGCAAUGUAAUGAAGAAAUGAUUGUAAAUUUCAAGGACUGAAUUGUAAAUCGAUAAUAACUUUUUUGAACUCUGUAUCCAAUUUGGAUGAGCAAUAUAGUGUUAGGUGCCUCAUAAAACCUAGACUCUCUUUAUGCUGACAUGAUGAAAUUUUAAUAUGCUGUUAUUAGUUCAUAUUUCUUUUGGCAAUCAAUUUUAUAUUGAUGCGUCUAUUAUAGCCUAUAAUUGACGCAUAUUAAUAUUUGUUAGAAGUUCCAUGAUGCAUAAGCUGGACGCUUGAGCAUGUGAAAGGAUGUUGUUGCAUGGUUGUGCAGCAUGUUGAUAUACACAUAUAUGGAUGAUUGAACAACAUUGUCAUUAUUUGUAGGCAAUUUUGAAAGGGAUUAUCAGUUGUCAAAAAAGCUUAUAAGAUAUUCCUUGCAACUAUAGAAAGACAUAUUUCUACUGUUUCCCGGCACCACUUGAUCCUAGUAAUGGACUAAUAGCAGGGAAUGUGAUAUGAAUUUAGUCUAUAAGGAGGUUGCUUCAUCCUGAGCAGUCGGACGAGUUCCGAUGCAGCAAAGUGCAUUGAUGGAUGUGCUUUUCUCAUGAUGAAUUUGUGAGAUCUUUUAUUCUAAUUUAUUCUAUUUUUCAUUAUUAUUCUUAUCUUUAGUUGAUUGCAUGAGACACAACUAUAUUUCUUGACGUCUUGUUUCUACUAAGAUAAUCCCUAUCGAUCUGAAAAUUACAUAUUUCAGAUGAUCCAUAGCUGGGGAGCUAAGGAUUGAGAAGUGUUCGGUUCUAGCAAUGUGAAGAUUGUUAUCUGAUAUUUAAUAAAAGUACAGUUAGAUGUGUACGCCAGUAAUAAUGAUGAGACUUGAUGGGAUCCAUUUUCCAUUAUUGUCAAUGAAUAUUAUUAUUGUGCUCUGUGCAUUACAGAUGUCUGGAUCAUGAGUUUACGGAGGGUGUGAUCCUCUCAUUUUUUGGGUUGGGUCAUAUUGAGUGUUCGGUGCAUAAAAUGUUCUUAUCAAUCAAAAGUACUUGAUUGUUAGCUCCAUUUACAGGGUGUUUGGUGCAAAAGAAGUGGAUUAGCAGUGAUCUCGGAAAUUGCUAUUUUAGUAGGUGUUACUGUCCAGAGGUUGUGUUGUAUCGAUCAUAAAUUGUUCUUAUCAAUAAAAAAUACUUGGGGUGUUAGCUCCAUUUGCGGAGUGUUUGGUGCAAAAGAAGUGGAUUAACAAGGUUCUUGAAAAUUGAUCUUUUAGUAUGUGUUACCUUCCAGAGGUUGGCAUCUGCAGUGUGCUAGUUUGAUUACAUUAGUAAGGAUAUGUUGAACAAAUUGGAAAAGGAAAUAUAAUUCUAGGAGUUACUUUGCUAGGGAGAAUUCAACCAUUGCCUGCCUUCAGGUAAUGAAAGAGAAAUGAGACUUGCUGACUUCUUGUAGGCCAAUUUCUCCCUUCCCAAAAUGUAUUCUGUCCGCUGUCAGAUGACACCAAUUUCAGCCUUCCUGAAAUGUGUUUUACCCACAGUCAGACUGAAGUCAAGAUAUUUCUAACAGUUAGAAUCUUUGGUUAUAUUUAUGAUAUGUAGUUAUACUGGUUUAUGUACUAUGAAAAUCCACAUUUCAACUUUUUUGGCUUUUGCUACUAUAUGUUUCUUUUGCAUCCUUUGUUUGGUGUCUUAUUUUUGUCAAAGCUGUAAUAGCUAUCAAACAAAAAGUUGAUCUGGAAGUCUAGUUAAUAUGUCAAAUUAUGCAGGUUGUUUUUAUGUUACAAACUUGUGCUUCAAUGUGACAAUAGAGCAUCUCUAAAUUUAUUGCCUAAUGGCAACAUGUAAUCUCAAAUUUGAUUCCAGCCCUUGGUUCUCCAGAUUCAUAUAUGCUAUUCUGUUGUAGUAUAGCAUGAUAGUCUCAGCCAUUCGUCCGAUUUUUAAUAUUUUGGUGUGUUCCUUUUCUUAAGACUGUUGUUUUGUUGUCUCUGGACAAAUACGUCAAUAUAACUUCCCUGAGGUAUUGUAGCAUGCUAAUCUCCAGUAAAUGUUGUAUGUGUCCUAGUUCCAAUCUUUUGCAUUGUGCUUUUUCUUAGGUAUUCAUACAUUAUUGGCCUUUUAGAAUUAACAGCAGUGUAUCUGGCAGGUAGGUACUUGGUUAAAUUAAACUGAAGCACUGCUUACUCUUGUUGAGUUAUCAGGAUCAAGAGAAGUUUUAGAUGACUUGCACCCUAUGGCAUGUUGAUCAUCGUAGAGAUGUUUUCCUGACAAAGGCUUGACUCGUUAUCAGCGAAGAAUUAUACAUGUACUGUACUGCCUCAGAACUAGCUGCUGGAUAGGGUCAGUGAGAGAAUAUCAAAUAUGUGACCCUUUAUAAUUAAAUAAAAUAUAUAAUAAAAUUGAUUAGAUUCUGAUAACGGAUAUUAGUUAAUAAAAAAAAAGUUUAUAUUAUAAUAGGAUUUCUUAGGGUGUAUCCUUGAUGGGAGGAACUCUCCUAAUUAUUUAUCAUAGACUUUCUACUCUCGUCUAUAAAUGGAUAGGACCUCAUAGAGACUAAUGACAUGAUAUUUAUGUGAUGUAACGGUCAUGAACACAUACACGAGAUACGAUAGGUGACAUUAAGAGGUUACGAUUCCGAGAUACGAUAGGUGACAUUAAGAGGUUACGAUUCCUUUCUAAUUCUCUCUUGUCUCUGAACCAUUAAUAACUAUAGUCUUGUGAAAAGGUAGAAAGAGAUGAAGAGUGUUUAGUUCUCCUUGUAGAUCAGUUUUGCUGACAAACAAAUUCCUUGAUUUGUGCGCUGUAGUAGUAGGGUCAUUUAGACUUUGCAGCAUCAGAGAGUUCUCUUCCCAACUCCUGUUUACUUAACAAUGAGCAUGAAUAUACGCCUAUGACAAAAAAUUCCAUUUGGUGCCUUCAAAAUAUUGCUGCAGAAACUAAAUCCGGUGAAGAAAUGAAUGCCAUUUGCCCUUCACUUGCAUCUCAUAGGAGCAAAAGAAGGGGAAAAUAAUCUGGGCAUAAAAUCUAGUUAGCUAGAAUUUGGAUGCUUUCAUCUCAAGAAAUCUCUCUUUUUAUCUUUUCUUAAAGAUCAGUAGAUUCAAUGUACAGGGCAUUGCAGUUUUCUUCCUGUUUCUUCCUUUCUUUCUUUUCUUUUGGAAAAACAAAAGGAUGAUGAGAAUAUGCACAUUUUGGUUAUAUAAUAUCAACAAUGAUGAGAAUAAGAACAAUGAUAUGAAAGCAGACAGGACCAAUAAAUAAGUUUUCAGAAAUAACAACUGAUAAGUCGUCAAAUGAACACCUGUGCUGUGUACAUCAGUCUUCAGAGUUUAAAUUCCACAUCAUACUUCACUUGAUCAACAUCAAUAUGGUGGAAACAAAUUUAAAAGAAAGUUCAGUUUGAUAUGAUGUAAAACAAGAUAUCUCAUUAUUGGUUUGAUCUAAUUACAAAAAGUUAUGCUCAUAUCUAUAUCAUUUCUUAGUCUAGAGUAUAUUUGAACACACAACAAUAACAAUAAUUGCAAGCCAUAAUGAGCAGAUUCAACAUCUCACCUAUCAGAAAUCUUAAAUCGGGAAGCAGGGAUGAUACCGCAUUACCAACAAAACCUGAUAAUAACGAGAAAAAUAAAUUGAUCUUGUUUAGCGAACAAUUUUAGAGGGCAUAAAAACCUAGAACAUAUAUAGUUCUACAAGUUGAAAGGAUCUCAGUCCUUUUAGAGACAAAAUCCCCCACAAAAAGUAUCAACCCUUGCAAAGAGCAUCAGUCUUUUCCUACUGAAAGAACCUGACCCUAUCCAGCAGCUAGUUCUGAGGCAGUACAGUACAUGUAUAAUUCUUCACUGAUAACGGGUCAAGCCUUUGUCAGGAAAACAUCUCUACGAUGAUCAACAUGCGAUAGGGUGCAAGUCAUCUAAAACAUCUCUCGAUCCUGAUAACUCAACAAGAGUAAGCAGUGCUUCAGUUUAAUUUAACCAAGUACCUACCUGCCAGAUACACUGCUGUUAAUUCUCAAAGGCCAAUAAUGUAUGAAUACCUAAGAAAAAGCACAAUGCAAAAGAUUGGAACUAGGACACAUACAACAUUUACUGGAGAUUAGCAUUCUACAAUACCUCAGGGAAGAUUAUUUUAACGUAUUUGUCCAGAGACAACAAUACAAUAAAGUCUUAAGAAAAGGAACACACCAAAAGAUUAAAAAUUGGACGAAUGGCUGAGACUAGCAUGCUAUACUACAACAGAAUAGCAUAUAUAAGAAUCUGGAGAACCAAGGGCUGGAAUCAAAUUCGAGAUUACAUGUUGCCAUUAGGCAAUAAAUUUAGAGAUGCUCUAUUGUCACAUUGAAGCACAAGUCUCAUUUCUCUUUCAUUACCUGAAGGCAGGCAAUGGUUGAAUUCACCCUAGCAAAGUAACUCCUAGAAUUAUAUUUCCUUUUCCAAUUUGUUCAACAUAUCCUUACUAAUGUAAUCAAACUAGCACACUGCAGAUGGCAACCUCUGGAUGUUAACACAUACUAAAAGAGCAAUUUCCAAGAACCUUGUUAAUCCACUUCUUUUGCACCAAACACUCCGCAAAAGGAGCUAACACCCCAAGUAUUUUUUAUUGAUAAGAACAAUUUAUGAUCGAUACAACACAACCUCUGGACAGUAACACCUACUAAAAUAGCAAUUUCCGAGAUCACUGCGAAUCCACUUCUUUUGCACCAAACACCCUGCAAAUGGAGCUAGCAAUCAAGUACUUUUGAUUGAUAAGAACAUUUUAUGCACCGAACACUCAAUACGACCCAAUCCAUAAAAUGAGAGGAUCACACCCUCCAUAAACUUAUAAGCCAGACAUCUGUAACGCACAGAGCACAAUAAUAAUAUUCAUUGACAAUAACUGAAAAUACAUCCCAUCAAGUGUCAUCAUUAUUACUGGAGUAAACAUCUAACUAUACUUUUAUUAAAUAUCAUAUAACAAUCUUCACCUUGCUAGAACCGAACACUUCUCAAUCCUUAGUUCCCCAGCUACGGAUCAUCUGAAAUAUGUAAUUUUCAGAUCGAUAGGGAUUAUCUUAGUAGAAACAAGAUAUCAAGAAAUCUAGUUGUGUCUCAUGCAAUCAGCAAAAGAUAAGAAUAAUAAUAAAAAAAGAGCAUAACUUAGAAUAAAAGAUCUCACAAAUUCAUCAUGAGAAAAGCACAUCCAUUAGUGCACUUUGUUGCAUUGGAACUCGUCCGACUGCUCAGGAUGAAGCAACCUCCUUAUAGACUAAAUUCAUAUCACAUUCCCUGCUAUUAGUCCAUUACUAGGAUCAAGUGGUGCCCGGCAACAGUAGAAAUACGUCUUUCUAUAGAUGCAAGGAAUAUCUUAUAAGCUUGUUUGACGAAUACUAAUCCCUUUCAAAAUUGCCUACUAAUAAUGACAAUGUUGUUCAAUCAUCCAUAUAUGUAUAUAUCAACAUGCUGCACAACCAUGCAACAACAUCCUUUCACAUGCUCAAGCAUCCAACUUAUGCAUCAUGGCACUUCUAACAAAUAUUAAUAUGCGUCAAUUAUAGGCUACAAUAGACGCAUCAAUAUAAAAUUGAUUGCCAAAAGAAAUAUGAACUAAUAACAGCAUAUUAAAAUUUCAUCAUGUCAGCAUAAAGAGAAUCUAGGUUUUAUGAGGCACCUAACACUAUAUUGAUCAUCCAAAUUGGAUACAGAGUCCAAAAAAGUUAUUAUCGAUUUACAAUUCAGUCCUUGAAAUUUACAAUCAUUUCUUCAUUACAUUGCAAACCAGUCCCUAGCAGUCUUAAUGGGCAGGACCUUAUGCAGCCACGUGGAACUUGGUCGCUCAGGCCGGACCACAUGGAGUUGGCCAGUCUGAGCUGAAGUGCAUGAAGUUUAGACCACCCCCGUAUUCAAAUGCUUAAAUUGGUAAAGGACAACUUGUAUAUUCCAGUGCUUAAAUUGAGAACAAAACAUUGUCAAUACGGAAAGUGUGGUUUCCUUCAUAAAUUUAAGAGUUACAACUUCAUUCUCAAGAAGACAGUCAGCUUCAAACUAUCAUGGUGGCAACCAGGUAUUCAUUAAGGUUUUGCAUUUAUAAAGAGAGAAAUUUCAACUGAAUUGACCGAUCAGCAAGAGGAAAGAAGUGGUUCAAACUAAUCACUUAAGAAAGAGAACAAAAUUUGAUAAACAAAAUAUACAAAAAAUUGAAACCCAACCUCAUUUCCCUUUUUUGGGUUUUGGGUUUGGAUUUGGAUAGGAGAGGCUUUAAUAAAUUUAUAUAAAAGAUGACCAACCCUUGCCCUAAAUCAAAAGCCUCAUCAUCCAGCUCAAAAUCACCAAAGCAUCCUACCGUACCAUCCAAAAGAAUCCUACUUCUUAUCAUUUGAAAAAUUAACCAAAACUCGAAACCAAAAUUACCAAAUAUCCAUAGUCAAAUCAAUUCAAAACUUCAGGUGUCCAAUAACCUACAUAAGUCUGAUAUCUUCUAGUAGACUUAAAACGAAUGGGACAAGAAUAACAAUUCCAUGCGGCAUCUACACAAGAGAUUAUCAACAAGCAAUUAACUCUAUCGGCAAUAUCAUCGCAAAUCUUCUCAAUAUUCUUCAUUUUCUUACUACAUGUAAGCAUCCAAACUCAUCUUACAUUCACAGAAAACGAAGUAAAUGGCAGGAAUUAUUUGGUUGCAAACUGUAGAUCAUGUUAUGCAGAUAGUGGAAAAUUGGAACCUGGAAACAUAACUUGCUGGUACAAAAGCUUGUGCUAUGCAUUAUGCAUUUCCACGAUCAAAGUGCAGUUCUGUGUUUGGGGGCUACAUUAUACAACUCAAUGAGUUCUGGAUACUCCUUGUAGCAGUUGACGAACUUCUCCACAAAUUUCUUCUCUGGAUAUUUCAUGUAUGUAGACAUACUAAGGUUACUGAUGCAAACUCCCCUAGACUUCAGGCCUGUCAAAAUCCGAUGCCUUGGCAUCAACCUUUUCUCCAAACUCAUCAACAAAAUAACUGGCCGAAGUGCAAGAUAAGAUGGAGCACAUCUGGCUUCAUUUACCAAGAACUCCAUCUUCCUCUGCAAACUCUUUAAAGAAAAUCGCACAAACGUAGGAGCCUUUCUGAAUGCAGCAAGGAAAUCAUCCUCGGACCACCCGAAGCCCUUGAAGAACUCCAAGUGAGCCUUGAAGUUCUUCUCGGAGACGCUCUGGAGCACACUCAGGAUCAGGAGGAACAUCCCCGAG